CACUGACUGUCUUGUUAGAUUAACCCAAUAAAUUUCAUUCACUCUGCAUACUCAAUCCUAUAGACACUCUUUUAAUUCUUCAAUCACAGACGUAACUCGAUUUCACAAAACAGUCAAGAGUAAUCAAACCCACUUCAUUAAAAAAUCCCGAUUCACCAUUACAACACUGACUUCAGCAACAAUUGCCUCAGUCUUCCCAAAACUCUAUGAAGAAG
rnacentral:lncRNA from 1 species